ACUCACUAUUAGACAGGAGGGCAGACUCACGCUCACUAUUAUAGAGGAGGGUAGACUCAAAAUUAUAGAAAAGUGGAACACUUGCAGGUGAAGUGACAGCCAUGACUGUAGAGAGGAUACAUAGAAAAUUGUUUCUCACUAAAUGCAGGAAUGAAAAACUUACGACUACUUAAAGGUAUGGGGCAUUUCACUGUGGGGAUUACUACAUCUUUGGUCCUGGCACAAGACUUUACGUUGAAGACAAGCAUGUCAAAGAACCAAAAGUGACAGCCUAUCAAGCACCCAAGACCCAAACAAAUGAGAGGACCACCCUGCUGUGUCGGGCCAGUGACAUGUUCCCAGACUUGGUGAGGUUUUCAUGGAAGAUGGAGAGAGAAGACGGCCGGUUGGUGGAGGUGCCUGAAGCAGAGAGAGAAGAGCUGGAGCAGAGGGAGGACGGGAGAGUGACUAGUGUGAUCAUCAUCAAGAACCAAGAAACUAAAACUAAAAACUACCGCUGUACUGUAAAGCAUGAAGUGGCCAAUGUUGAAGUUAAAGACUUUGAAAUACACGAAAAAGAGGAAUCUUCUUUUACCACUGCUGCCUCUCCACCAACCUGUCCACCUCAGAAUCAUACACACGUCUCUCCUGCCAUCCUCUUCCCUGAAGGUAAGUUUACAAUACCGUUGUAAACUGUUUAUCAAUACAUUUUUAUUUUUGUAUGUCUGUAUUUUAAUAUAUUUUUCACGUAAUAAUAAUGCCCAGAUGGAUUGAUGUAACUGCUAUUGACUUUUAUUUCAUUGUUAGUAAAAAAUAAAAACAUGUUUGAAUACUACCUUUGAAUACUACCUAAAAAAACUUACCAGUACAUUUCAUAUGCUUUUGUUUCUUAAUUAAUCUUACAAAAAAGGGUAUGGAAUUCAUGAUCACCAUCACAUUUAUCUGUACGUCCCUUACGUUGCUUUAGGAGAAAUAUAAUGAUGUGUCUG